rnacentral:rRNA from 1 species
CAACCCUGACCGUCGAUUAAGGUCCCCAAGUUGUAGUUAAGUGGGAAAGGAAGUGAAGAUCCCAAAACAACCAGGAUGUUGGCUUAGAAGCAGCCAUCAUUUAAAGAAAGCGUAACAGCUCACUGGUCUAAAUAAGGGUCUUUGCGCCGAAAAUGUAACGGGGCUAAAACUACACACCGAAAUCGCGGGUUUACACAUUAGUGUAAGCGGUAGCAGAGCGUUCUGUAAGUCUGUGAAGGGAGACCCGUGAGGGCUCCUGGAGAUAUCAGAAGUGCGAAUGUUGACAUGAGUAACGAUAAAGGGAGUGAGAGACUCCCUCGCCGAAAGUCCAAGGGUUCCUGCUUAAAGUUAAUCUGAGCAGGGUUAGUCGGCCCCUAAGGCGAGGCCGAAAGGCGUAGUCGAUGGGAAACAGGUUAAUAUUCCUGUACUUGGAGGUAGUGACGGAUCACGUGUAUCGUCAAUUCUUAUCGGAUUGAGUUGGCGGUGAAGUGGUUCCAGGAAAUAGCUCCUCCAUUAUAAACCGUACCCCAAACCGACACAGGUGGACAGGUAGAGUAUACCAAGGCGCUUGAGAGAACUAUGUUGAAGGAACUCGGCAAAUUGCACGCGUAACUUCGGAAGAAGCGUGACCCUUAUUUACGCAAGUAGAUGAGGGUGGCACAGACCAGGGGGUAGCGACUGUUUAUCAAAAACACAGGGCUCUGCGAAGCCGUAAGGCGACGUAUAGGGUCUGACGCCUGCCCGGUGCUGGAAGGUUAAGAGGAGGAGUGCAAGCUCUGAAUUGAAGCCCCAGUAAACGGCGGCCGUAACUAUAACGGUCCUAAGGUAGCGAAAUUCCUUGUCGGGUAAGUUCCGACCUGCACGAAUGGCGUAACGACUUCCCCGCUGUCUCCAACAUAGACUCAGUGAAAUUGAAUUCCCCGUGAAGAUGCGGGGUUCCUGCGGUUAGACGGAAAGACCCCGUGCACCUUUACUAUAGCUUCACACUGGUAUUCGCCAAGACAUGUGUAGGAUAGGUGGUAGACUUUGAAGCGUGGGCGCCAGCUCACGUGGAGUCAUCCUUGAAAUACCACCCUUAUCUUCGUGGAUAUCUAACCGCGGUCCGUUAUCCGGAUCCGGGACAGUGUGUGGUGGGUAGUUUGACUGGGGCGGUCGCCUCCUAAAGAGUAACGGAGGCGCGCGAUGGUGGGCUCAGAACGGUCGGAAAUCGUUCGUCGAGUGCAAUGGCAUAAGCCCGCCUGACUGCGAGACUGACAAGUCGAGCAGAGACGAAAGUCGGUCAUAGUGAUCCGGUGGUCCCGAGUGGAAGGGCCAUCGCUCAACGGAUAAAAGGUACGCCGGGGAUAACAGGCUGAUGACCCCCAAGAGUCCAUAUCGACGGGGUUGUUUGGCACCUCGAUGUCGACUCAUCGCAUCCUGGGGCUGGAGCAGGUCCCAAGGGUAUGGCUGUUCGCCAUUUAAAGCGGUACGUGAGUUGGGUUCAGAACGUCGUGAGACAGUUCGGUCCCUAUCUGCCGUGGGUGUAGGAAUAUUGAUAGGAUCUGUCCCUAGUACGAGAGGACCGGGAUGGACACACCACUGGUGGACCUGUUGUUGCGCCAGCAGCAUUGCAGGGUAGCUAUGUGUGGAAUGGAUAACCGCUGAAGGCAUCUAAGCGGGAAACCAGCCUAAAAACGAGUAUUCCCUGAGAGUCGUGGAAGACCACCACGUUGAUAGGAUGGGUGUGGAAGUACCGUAAGGUAUGAAGCUUACCAUUACUAAUAGCUCGAUCGACUUCAUCAU